CUCCAAAUGCGUUACUGAUCUCUCUAGGAGUGAUGGGAGGUGUUAUACUCAUUGGUGGGAUAUUAGGGCUUCUUUACUGGAAGAAGAAGGCAAAAGGAAUCAGAUGAAAAUGAAAGAGGACGACUGCUCCCCGUAUGCAGUAAGCAGCAGGAAGGAUAUAGACCAGAAUGAAACCAUGUAUUCGGUCGUGACGUUCCCCCCGGAAACUGGACAGGGCACCUCUACUUUAUCGGGUGGCAACCCAGCUUCUCAGCCUGGAGAGAAAGUGCAUACCGUUUAUGCUUUGUUGUCUAAAUAGAGAAAUAAAGUCUUCUGCG